GACUAGUGAGCUAUUACGCACACUAGUCGAGUGACACUGCGCCGAAAAUGUACCGGGGCUAAACAUAUUACCGAAGCUGUGGAUUGUCCAUUGGACAAUGGUAGGAGAGCGUUCUAAGGGCGUUGAAGCAUGAUCGCAAGGACAUGUGGAGCGCUUAGAAGUGAGAAUGCCGGUGUGAGUAGCGAAAGACGGGUGAGAAUCCCGUCCACCGAUUGACUAAGGUUUCCAGAGGAAGGCUCGUCCGCUCUGGGUUAGUCGGGUCCUAAGCUGAGGCCGACAGGCGUAGGCGAUGGAUAACAGGUUGAUAUUCCUGUACCACCAUUAUUCGUUUUAAGCGAUGGGGGGACGCAGUAGGAUAGGCGAAGCGUGCUGUUGGAGUGCACGUCCAAGCAGUGAGAUUGAGUGUUAGGCAAAUCCGGCACUCUUAAGAUUGAGCUGUGAUGGGGAGAGGAACUUGUUCCUCGAGUCGUUGAUUUCACACUGCCGAGAAAAGCCUCUAGCUAGAAUAACGGUGCCCGUACCGCAAACCGACACAGGUAGUCAAGAUGAGAAUUCUAAGGUGAGCGAGCGAACUCUCGUUAAGGAACUCGGCAAAAUGACCCCGUAACUUCGGGAGAAGGGGUGCUCUUUGAGGUUCACGCUUCGAAGAGCCGCAGUGAAUAGGCCCAAGCGACUGUUUAUCAAAAACACAGGUCUCUGCUAAACCGUAAGGUGACGUAUAGGGGCUGACGCCUGCCCGGUGCUGGAAGGUUAAGAGGAGUGGUUAGCGCAAGCGAAGCUACGAAUCGAAGCCCCAGUAAACGGCGGCCGUAACUAUAACGGUCCUAAGGUAGCGAAAUUCCUUGUCGGGUAAGUUCCGACCCGCACGAAAGGCGUAACGAUUUGGGCACUGUCUCAACGAGAGACUCGGUGAAAUCAUAGUACCGGUGAAGAUGCCGGUUACCCGCGACAGGACGGAAAGACCCCGUGGAGCUUUACUGUAGCCUGAUAUUGAAAUUCGGUACAGUUUGUACAGGAUAGGUAGGAGCCUUAGAAGCGUGAGCGCUAGCUUACGUGGAGGCAUUGGUGGGAUACUACCCUAAUUGUAUUGGAUUUCUAACCCGCAGCACUUAUCGUGCUGGGAGACAGUGUCAGGCGGGCAGUUUGACUGGGGCGGUCGCCUCCUAAAGAGUAACGGAGGCGCUCAAAGGUUCCCUCAGAAUGGUUGGAAAUCAUUCAUAGAGUGUAAAGGCAUAAGGGAGCUUGACUGUGAGACCUACAAGUCGAGCAGGGUCGAAAGACGGACUUAGUGAUCCGGUGGUUCCGCAUGGAAGGGCCAUCGCUCAACGGUUAAAAGCUACCCCUCUCUC
rnacentral:rRNA from 1 species